rnacentral:lncRNA from 1 species
GUUGUGAUUUGCCUCUUAGGGACACAGGAACCUGCCUUAUAUAGAGUCUGACCAUUGCACCUUAUAGCUCAAUAUUGUCCGCGCUGACUGCCAGCUGCUCUCCAGGGUUUCUAUCAGGAGUUUUUCCAAGUCCUACCUGGAGAUUCCAGGGAUUGAACCUGGGACUGAUGGCUUGCAGAGCAUGUGGUCUAAAACCAGUCCCUUCUACUGACCUAUAGCUCUCUUCCUGUACUCUAGGGGCAGGGAACCUGUGACCCUCCAGGUCCUGCUGGACUACAAGUUAAACACAUAGUAAGAGGCACAGUGAGACUUAGCUUUGAAGUGUUUUGCUCUCCUCUUCAAGCCAUUGGCCAGAGCUCAGCCCAACCCAGAAGAGCCUGCUGACUGGCGAGUUCUAUUGGCUAGCCUGGAGCAUAAAUCAGCCCGAUUUGGAGGGUGGGCUCAAUUUCCGAUGUGCCUAGCAAGGUAGGCUGUGCAAGACAAGCAAUUUAGGGUGUGCACACAAAGGAGGAAACGUUAAUGCCGAUUUAAUUUUUUCAUGACUUUGAAAACAGGACAGAAGGCGUAUUGUUUGAAGUCCAAAUGGGUCAGAGGACACUGUUGUUCAAAAACAAGACAAUCCAGUUUUUUAAAGGAAUGGGGGGCAACCCUAACUACAACUCCCAUCACCUUUGUCCAUUGGUGAUGAUGGCUGGGACUGAUGAGAGACUGAAUUCAGCAGCAUUUUGAGAGCUGCAGCUUCUGCAUCUCUGCUUUAUACUUUCCAGAUCCUCCCCCCCCCCCCAUCUUUGCUGAAGUUUAUAAAGCAACAGGCACCGGCUCUUCCGCUGAGAUGUGCUGGGUAAUCAGUCUCUUUGAACAGCUGAAACCGAAACUAUUCCUCCUCGUAAGCAUUUGCCUUUUACCUUUACCUUCAUUAAAAUUUAUCUCUGCCAUCUUAUUGCGCAACCGCCCUGCUUGAUUAGAUCCUUCUGGAAUUCCUCAGUCCUCACUUGUAUUCUCUGACCCAAAUUAUUUUUGUGUCAUCAGCACAUUCUAUCUCAAUCGUUCCUAUUUUAUACUCAAGAUUAUUGCGGAAUUCAUUGGCCAACUCUAAUAUUCAGAGCACCCACAUAUUCGCUUCUUUUCAUCAUGGCAAAAGACCAUUUAAUCCCCCCUGGUGUUUCUUUUCUCAGUUUUUAAUCCACAAGAGGCCUCUCCAUUUCAGUGUAAAAUUACUUGUUUUCAUUAAUACUCCCCUGUGUGUGACCUCCUCAAUAGCUUUAUGCAAAUCCAAGUAAAUUACAUGCCUUCGUAACCCAUUUUUGAAAGUUCUACUAUUGGUGUUCUGUCGAGCUUUUGAUGUAAAGUUUGCUCUGCCAUUCUUCAGGCCUACACUGGAAGUUUAUUUAAUCAAAUCAUUUCUUGAACUUUCUUAAUUACCCUCCUAGACUAUAGUGGAAGAUGUUGCUUAUCUAGGUCUUAGUAGUGUUUCCCUUUUUUCUUUUAGUGUUUUGCCUUUGGUUUAUUUAUACUUUGAUUUGUUUGACGUCGUGGGGACUCUGGAGAUCUUGAAUGUGUUUUAGUAACUCAUGGGGGAAAGCCUAGAAUAUUUCACCCUCUCUCUAAAUGUGGUUUUAAAAGUACAUCCUGGUAUUCGAAAUCCCCCAUGCGCCAGGUGUGUUUUCCGACUGGCAUGGGUCCAAUUGCGACCACAUGGAGAUCUCUGGGUGCCAGGCUGGUGCCUGGCUGUCCCUGCAGCUUUCUUAAGCAGGUAAACACAAGAGCUUAUUUAUGGCAUUAAUAUCCUACUUUUUUCUUCAAGGAGUCCAUGGUUCACCCCUCCCCCCAAGUUAAUCUCUACAACAACCCUGUGAGGUAGGUUAAGAGGCUGUGACUUGUCUGCAAGGUCACCCAGUGAGCUGCAUGACUGAGUGGGGAUUUGAACCCUGAUCUCCCAGUUCCUAGUCCGACACUCUAGCUACUACGCCACGCUGGCUUCCUAGAGUACUUCUGCGAUGGGGCAGCUCUAUAAAUUAAGUCGGUAAAUAAAUAUGGGGAAAGCAGAAUGUCCCUUAGAGAAGGAUCUUAAAUAUUUUCCCGGCACUUUGAAUUUGUUUUAUUCUGGAUUGUUUUAUUGGAUGUUUUAAUGUGUCGUGAACCACUUGGAUAUUUUUUUCUUAAAAAUAUACAGCAGUACAAAAAUGAAAUGAAUAAUAAUAAGUCUCAUUGAAAGAAAAAUAUGGUGCCUAAACAUUCCAUGGUGGCGACUAUAAACUAGGUUUAAGGUGCCGUUUGGUGAUUAGCUUAUCUGAGUUUCUAACACUGGUAAGCCUAAGCCUAUAACAAGGACCACACACGCAAAAUAGCAAUGGCAAGAAAUUAAAUGGUUUGUUGAAAUGCAGUGUUAGCAAAGGACAAUAGAGGAAUAAUAAUGGUGGCAACUCAACUCGAGGCUUUCUUGGAUGAGACUGGUUAUUCAGAUACUUUCCAAACUCAGGUCAGGCUAGGUUUUGGUCACUUGGGUGGAUGACCUGCACCAGGAACUAGAUAAUGGGGAAUGUAUCCCUGUUGGUUCUGCUGUACUGCUCAGCAGCUUUAAUACCACCAUCAGCUAUGGUUUCCUCCUGGGACUCUUGCUGCUAUGGGACUUGCAGGCACUAUUUUUGGUGAUUCCAGUCCUAUCUUAAAUGUUCCCAGAAGAUGGUGCUGGGUAACUACUGUUUGUGCUCCUCAGGCUACUGUUUUGUCUCUCGUUCUGUAUUUAACACCUACAUAAAAUUGCUAGGAAAUUUCAUCCAGAGUUUUGGAAUAUGGUGCUUUCAAUAUGGCGAUGGCACUGAGUUCUCUCUCAUUUGCAGCUGGUAGUCAAUAAAGCUAUGGAGAUCUUGAACCCGUGUCUGGGCACAGUUAUGGAUUAGAUGUAGGCUAGCAAUCUCAGGUUUACUCGAGUCAGAAGUAUUCAUUUGAAAUGGUGAUCGGAUAUUGGAAAUACUGCCUGCUGUUCUGCCCUUAAGGACCAGUUUGGGGAAGGGGUACUCCUGAAUCCAACAUUGCUUUUGGAUGGCCAGGUGACUGUUGUAGCUAGGAAUAACUUUUGUUCCGUUUCAGUUGGGGCACCAACUGCAUCUUUCCCCAGAGAAAACAGAUCUGGCCACUGUUCCAAGGAUGGAGAAGCUGUUGUUGGUUCCCCAUCAGUCCUGGCCACUAUGAUCAGAGGGGGUGGGACAUGCAACCCAACAGCAUUUGAGGGCACCACAGGUUCCCCAUCACACCAAUAUUAGAUUACAUCCAUAUCGUUAACAGUGCGCUUAUCUGCAUGUGGGACCUGGAUCGCAUGGGACACUGCCCCUUAGCCAGUCAGUGUCUCUGCAGACAAAGGUUAUACAGAGCAAAACAUUUGCACCACUGCUCCUAUCCAUUUUAGAUCCUCAAGACUACGCUAAGGUUUGCUGAAUCCAGUAGGGUCAGAUUAACAUCCUAUACACCUUAAUGUAUAAACUAUUUUUUUAUUCAUGAAGAAUUAUCCCCUCUGAUUUUGAUGAAUAUUGUCUUCUUUUGCUGACAUUUUUCAGCUAUUCUUAUUCAGCAUCCUCAUUUAACCUCUGAAGAUUUUUCAGUAGCCAGAAUCUUACAUUAUCUUACAAAAAAGCCCUAAUGAGCAUGAAAAUAGUAAAUGAAAGCAUGAACAUAAUAAAAUUCCAACACUCUUCCAGCUGCUUUCUAUCUUUCAUCGUCAUCAUCAUCAUCAUUAUUAUCAUCAUUUUCAUCUUCCUAUUUUUAAGUAACUAUGAACUUGUCAAUUCUUGGUUUAUCUGUGCACAGUGGGAAGGUAAUUCUGUCGUUUGCUGUGAACUCUUUUUC